CGGUUAGACUAAAAGACCUAGCUAUAUUAUUAAGGUAAAAAGGUGGUUAAAUGUAACUUAAACUAAUAGUCCUAUAAUUUAUUAUGGAAAAGUGAAAUUUUUAUAUAAAUAAAUAAAUCAAAAAUUACUAAAAGGAAUUGAACCCACUAUAACUUGGAGGGAAACUGGGAUUUGAUACCCCAUUAUUCUUAGUUGUAAAUUAACAUUAAGUUUACCAGAGUACUACGAAUAUCAAUAAUUUAAAACUCAAAGAGCUUGGCGGUGUUUUAGACCACUUAGGGGAACCUGUCUCAUAAUCGAUAAUCCGCGCAAUACCUGACCUUUUGUUGCAAUACAGUUUGUACACCGUUGUCACCAGGUAACCUUUUAGAGAAACUUAGUUAGCAAAAAAAUAAAUUAAAUUUGAAUGUCAAAUCAAGGUGCAGCUAAUAGAAAGGGGAGGAUGGGUUACAAUUAAAACUUAUAAUACGAAUCAGAUAGUGAAAUCUAACUGUGAAGGAGGACUUAAAAGUAAAACUAUUUAUAUAAAUAACUUGAAUUGGGCUCUGAAAUGUGUACACGCC
rnacentral:rRNA from 1 species